rnacentral:rRNA from 1 species
AGAGAGAGACAUGCGCGCAUAUCAAUAAGCGGAGGAAAAGAAACUAACAAGGAUUCCCUUAGUGACGGCGAGUGAAGCGGGAAGAGCUCAAAUUUGAAAUCUUCAAGGUUCUACCUUGACGAAUUGUAGUUUAUAAGAAGUGUUUUCUGUUAGUGGAGUUGGCUAAAAGUUCUUUGGAAUAGGACAUCAUAGAGGGUGAGAAUCCCGUAUUUGGUCAUUCCUCCUAGCGUUGUGAUACACUUUCAACGAGUCGGAUUGUUUGGGAAUGCAGUCCAAAAUGGGUGGUAAAUUUCAUCUAAAGCUAAAUAUUGGCGAGAGACCGAUAGCGAACAAGUACCGUGAGGGAAAGAUGAAAAGAACUUUGAAAAGAGAGUUAAACAGUACGUGAAAUUGUCAAAAGGGAAGCGUUUGACACCAGUGUUGUUUUUCCGAAAAUCAAUUACGAAUGUUUUGUUUUUGAGGAGUUAUGACUUCAUCAGCUUGCUUCUUUCUUUACGAAACUUUCUUAAUGCACUUUUCGGUUAACAAGUCAACAUCAAUUUCUUUUGUUGUAAAAGGGUACUGAGGAAGGUGGCUUUCUUUUCGGAGAAAGUGUUUAUAGCCUUGUGACUUCUGCAAUCAGAGAGAUUGAGGUCUGCAGCGUAGAUCCUUCGGGGUUAGAUACAUUUGUGCUAAGUUAUAGCUUUUCAUAGACAACUUGUUGACUAUGUUUAGUCUUGUAGCUUACUCGCUUAUGCUAUUUUACCUACGCUUAGGAUGUUGAUCUGUAGUGCGUGCGC